AACGAACGCUGGCGGCAUGCCUAACACAUGCAAGUCGAACGAGACCUUCGGGUCUAGUGGCUCACGGGUGCGUAACGCGUGGGACCCUGCCUUUAGGCUCGGAAUAACUCAGAUAAAUUUGAGCUAAUACCGGAUAAUGUCCUCGGACCAAAGAUUUAUCGCCUUUAGAUGGGCCCGCGUUGGACUAGCUAGUUGGUGGGGUAAAAGCCUACCAAGGCGACGAUCCUUAGCUGGUCAGAGAGGAUGAUCAGCCACACUGAGGCUGAGACACGGCCCAGAAUCCUACGCGAGGCAGCAGUGGGGAAUAUUGGACAAUGGGCGAAAGCCUGAUCCAGCAAUGCCGCGUGAGUGAUGAAGUCCUUAGGGUUGUAAAGCUCUUUUACCCGAGAUGAUAAUGACAGUACCGGGAGAAUAAGCUCCGGCUAACUCCGUG
rnacentral:rRNA from 1 species